CAUGAAGCUGGAAUCGCUAGUAAUCGCGAAUCAGAAUGUCGCGGUGAGUACGUUCCCGGGUCUUGUACACACCGCCCGUCACACCAUGGGAGUCGGAAAUGCCCGAAGUCAGUGACCCAACCGUAAGGAGGGAGCUGCCGAAGGUGGAGCCGGUAACUGGGGUGAAGUCGUAACAAGGUAAC
rnacentral:rRNA from 1 species